CAAAAGCUGAAGUCAAGUUGUACUGAUACGCAUCUGGUACUUAAAUAAGUGCUGAACUUUUUAUGACAGCAACACGUAGACACAGAUUCCUUUGAAUAGAAGGAUAUGACAGGUGAUAUCGGACUCCAGGGAAGUCCCAGCUGUGCCAUUGUACCCUUCAUGAGUAAGCAGUGCUGGGGCUGUGCAACUAUCAUCCCUCACCCUUUUGGGCCUGAUGAUUGCUGCCCAGGAGCAGAGCAAGCUUCCUCCCCACUGGGAAACAAUCUGCGCAGAGUUAGUGAUGGGAUAUUCUGGUCAGAGGAAAUCGCACCACAGGAAAUCUCAUCAGAGUGACCACUAUCAGUCAUGGCACAUGCAGUCAGGACUGGAGCCCUUAAUUCUGCACAUUGCCAUUCUCCAGUGAAGGCUGGAUUUGGUCACUGGGUUCAGCGGGAGCCAGACCAAGCCUCAGACCACUGAAGAAGUGAAUGAAAGAGAGUAAUCACAGGAAGACUUUGCAGAUGAGGUUUGAUUGUCUUGCUGAAUCUAGGGAUGUGUAAGGCAUUGUUCUGGGACAGGAUCUGCAA
rnacentral:lncRNA from 1 species